rnacentral:rRNA from 1 species
UACGUAGGGGGCAAGCGUUGUCCGGAUUUAUUGGGCGUAAAGAGCGUGUAGGCGGCUUUGCAAGUCCGUUGUGAAAACUCGAGGCUCAACCUCGAGACGCCGGUGGAAACUGCAAAGCUAGAGUCCGGAAGAGGAGAGUGGAAUUCCUGGUGUAGCGGUGAAAUGCGCAGAUAUCAGGAGGAACACCCGUGGCGAAAGCGGCUCUCUGGGACGGUACUGACGCUCAUGCACGAAAGCGUGGGGAGCAAACAGG